AUGGGAGCUGCAGGGGUGGUGCCUGCGGGCGUGGGCAGCACACGGAGACACGCUGUCCCUCUCCCGUGCCGAGGUGUGCCAGCAGCCAGAGCAUGCACCUUACACCCCAACCUUCCCCCCAACCCCCUGUCCCGGGUCAGAAUCCUCCUCCUGCACCCAAACUCCCUUCGAAAGCCCACACCCCACCCUGCACCCCAACCUCUGCCCCAGUCUGGAGCCCCGUCCUGCACCGAAAACUCCUUCCCAGAGCCCGCACAUCAUACCCCCUGCACCCAACUCCCUGCCCCAAGUCAGAAUCCCCCUCCUGCACCCAAACUCCCUUUCAGAGCCCGCACCCCACCCUGCACCCCAACCCUCUGCCCCAGCCUGGAGCCCCGUCCUGCACCCAAAACUCCUUCCCAGAGCCCGCACAUCAUACCCCCUGAACCCAACCCCCUGCCCCAGCCCCGUCCUGCACCCAAAACUCCUUCCCAGAGCCCGCACAUCAUACCCCCUGAACCCAACCCCCUGCCCCAGGUCAGAAUCCCCCUCCUGCACCCAAACUCCCUUUCAGAGCCCGCACCCCACCCUGCACCCCAACGCCCUGCCCCAGCCCCCUCCUGCACCCAAAGUCCUUCCCAGAGCCUGCAUAUCAUACCCCCUGCACCCCAACCCCCUGCCCCAGCCCUCUCCUGCACCCAAAGUCCUUCCCAGAGCCUGCACAUCAUAACCCCUGCACCCCAACCCCCUGCCCCAGCCCCCUCCUGCACCCAAACUCCCUCCCAGAAAGAAACGACUAUAACGCUGUUCUAAGAUAAGACGUAGGCUAUUCUGAAUUCACGUAACUGUAUUCUACGUUUGAAGGCUGAAAUGUAACCCCAGAACGGCUUGACGUUAAUUAAAAGGCAAGUUGAAUACAGCAUUAGUAGCCUCGAUGCCACGACUGUGAUCAUUUCUUUUUAAAUUAGGAAAAAGACGUGAAUACAGGGGGCCCCACAAAAUCUAAAUGCCCUGGGCCCACAGGAGACUUAAUCUGACCCUGGGGAGAGCGCUAAGCGGGGCGGCGCGCAGCUGGAAGGCACCGGGUCGAUUAAAAGGGGCAGUUGACAGAAUGAGCUUGCGUCCAUCCUUGGGUCUGUUUUACUGCAGCUAGUGUUGGGUUAGAAGCCGUACCAGUGUGUAACAGAAACGGUUUAUCCAAGUCAUGUUCAAUAACAUGAUUGAAUCUCUUUACAAACUCAAAGUAAAACUUGGUUAGAACAAUAGUGGAUUGGAUCUGCUGUUGCAGCAGGAUUCCUGUAUGUCUCAUGGGAUCUUGCCAAGAGCUAAAGAACAUCAUACAGCUACUUUAUCCACACAAGCUCUGGCAAAUCUUUGGAACCCAAUUAAUAUCGGGACAAUGUUGUCCAUAGUACAGGAAUCUUGGCAUUUAGCCGUCAAAGCAAUAUGGUCGGGUGCCUCAGUUUCCCUUUUCCAUACAGCACAUCAGGUCUGGAAUGUCUUUUCCCCUGUGAAAAGUCCCAAUACUCGUUACAGGCACUAACUGUGAAACAUCAGCAUUACAAGGCUUUUUAACAGCAAGCGUGUCCUUAUGUACCACCCUUAGCACGUUUAAGGGAUUUGCCAAAAGAUUAGGCCCAUUGUACAUUUUCACAGUUUUUGGUAAUAGCAACACAUUAGUUACAAAACCCGUCAUUAGCAAUAACAACAAAUGUAUCGCAAGUGUCCAUCUACAAUCACAUUUGUCAUGCCGCGCCUUUGACCCAAUACCAUUGGGGUUUGGGCAUUUUAGGGUUACCCUGUGGCUUCCCUU
rnacentral:lncRNA from 1 species